GAUGAACGCUGGCGGCGUGCCUAAUACAUGCAAGUCGAGCGAACAGACGAGGAGCUUGCUCCUCUGACGUUAGCGGCGGACGGGUGAGUAACACGUGGAUAACCUACCUAUAAGACUGGGAUAACUUCGGGAAACCGGAGCUAAUACCGGAUAAUAUAUUGAACCGCAUGGUUCAAUAGUGAAAGACGGUUUUGCUGUCACUUAUAGAUGGAUCCGCGCCGCAUUAGCUAGUUGGUAAGGUAACGGCUUACCAAGGCGACGAUGCGUAGCUGACCUGAGAGGGUGAUCGGCCACACUGGAACUGAGACACGGUCCAGACUCCUACGGGAGGCAGCAGUAGGGAAUCUUCCGCAAAGGGCGAAAGCCUGACGGAGCAACGCCGCGUGAGUGAUGAAGGUCUUCGGAUCGUAAAACUCUGUUAUUAGGGAAGAACAAAUGUGUAAGUAACUAUGCACGUCUUGACGGUACCUAAUCAGAAAGCCACGGCUAACUACGUG
rnacentral:rRNA from 1 species